rnacentral:rRNA from 1 species
AGAACGAACGCUGGCGGCGCGCCUAAUACAUGCAAGUCGAGCGAGAAGGUGUAGCAAUACACUUGUAAAGCGGCGAACGGGUGAGGAAUACAUGGGUAACCUACCAUCGAGUGGGGAAUAACCAGCCGAAAGGUUGGCCUAAUACCGCGUACGCCUCCAAAUCUUCGGAUUCGGAGGAAGCCACACUGUGAGUGUCGGCGCUCUUGAGUGGCUCAUGUCCUAUCAGUCUUAGUUGGUACGGGUAACCGGCCUUACCGAAGGUCUUUACGGACGGGUUAGCUAGGUCUGGAGGAGGACCGA